rnacentral:rRNA from 1 species
UGCGGCCUACGGGAGGCAGCAGUGAGGAAUAUUGGUCAAUGGACGAGAGUCUGAACCAGCCAAGUAGCGUGAAGGAUGACUGCCCUAUGGGUUGUAAACUUCUUUUAUAAAGGAAUAAAACGAGGCACGUGUGCCUUUUUGCAUGUACUUUAUGAAUAAGCAUCGGCUAACUCCGUGCCAGCAGCCGCGGUAAUACGGAGGAUGCGAGCGUUAUCCGGAUUUAUUGGGUUUAAAGGGUGCGUAGGCGGUUUUUUAAGUUAGUGGUUAAACGUCGGGGCUUCACCUUGAUUUGCCAUUAAUACUGU